rnacentral:rRNA from 1 species
AGUGAACGCUGGCGGCGUGCUUAACACAUGCAAGUCGAACGAGAACGGAAUAUAGCUUGCUAUAUUUGUCAGCUAAGUGGCGCACGGGUGAGUAAUGUAUAGAUAACCUGCCCUUAAGAAAGGAAUAACAGUUGGGAACGACUGCUAAUGCCCUAUAUGCCUUUAAUACAUAAGUAUGCAAGGGAAACGCUUUAGUGCUAGAGGAUGGGUCUGUAUGGUAUCAGCUUGUUGGUGAGGUAAUGGCUCACCAAGGCUAUGACGCCUAACUGGUUUGAGAGGAUGAUCAGUCACACUGGAACUGAGACACGGUCCAGACUCCUACGGGAGGCAGCAGUGGGGAAUAUUGCACAAUGGACGAAAGUCUGAUGCAGCAACGCCGCGUGGAGGAUGACACAUUUCGGUGCGUAAACUCCUUUUAUAUAGGAAGAUAAUGACGGUACUAUAUGAAUAAGCACCGGCUAACUCCGUGCCAGCCGCCGCCGUAA